rnacentral:rRNA from 1 species
GCCCUAGAUAGUAUCUAAGGUGUAACCUGCCCAGUGGUUUCUAAUACAAGAAAUAAAAAUUCUAUAAAGAAACUAAAAGGACGCGGUAACCUUGACCGUGGUAAUGUAGCAUAAUCACUCGCCAUUUAAUUGGUGGAUAGUAUGAAUGGUUGAACGAAUAUUCCGCUGUCUUAGAAAGAAGCACAAGAAAUUGAAAUAAUAGUUAAGAUGCUAUUUUUAACUGUAAGACGAAAAGACCCUAUAGAGCUUAACUAUAAUCUUCUUAUCAUAAAAGAAAAUAAAUUCUAUAUUUAAGAAGAUUGGUAGUUUAGUUGGGGCGACUGUCUUUUAUAACAAACAAAGACAAGCAAUGUUAAUAAAAAACUUAUUGUAUAACUAAAAUGUUUAACAAUUAUAAAAAUAGGCUAUAAUGACCCGUUAUUACUCUAUAAAAAGAAUAACGAUCAAUUAAUAAAAGCUACCUUAGGGAUAACAGGAUAAUUUCAUUUUAGAGUUCCUAUCGAAAAUGAAGUUUGUCACCUCUAUGUUGAAUUAAGAUAUCCUGAUAAUGCAGCAGUUAUCAAAG